rnacentral:rRNA from 1 species
GGAGGGGGCUAGCGUUGUUCGGAUUUACUGGGCGUAAAGGGCGCGUAGGCGGUAUGCCAUGUCAGGGGUGAAAGGCCUGGGCUCAACCCAGGAACUGCCUUUGAAACUGGCAAACUAGAGUCCGAUAGAGGAUGGCGGAAUUCCCAGUGUAGAGGUGAAAUUCGUAGAUAUUGGGAAGAACACCAGUGGCGAAGGCGGCCAUCUGGAUCGGCACUGACGCUGAGGCGCGAAAGCGUGGGGAGCAAACAGGGAUUAGAUACCCUGGUAGUCCACGCCGUAAACGAUGUGUGCUAGACGUUGGGGGCCCUUAGGCCCUGAGUGUCGCAGCUAACGCGUUAAGCACACCGCCUGGGGAGUACGGCCGCAAGGUUA